UACGAAGGGGGCUAGCGUUGCUCGGAAUCACUGGGCGUAAAGCGCACGUAGGCGGGUCGUUAGGUCAGGGGUGAAAUCCUGGAGCUCAACUCCAGAACUGCCCUUGAUACUGGCGAUCUCGAGUUCGGGAGAGGUGAGUGGAACUGCGAGUGUAGAGGUGAAAUCGUAGAUAUUCGCAAGGAACACCAGUGGCGAAGGCGG
rnacentral:rRNA from 1 species